rnacentral:rRNA from 1 species
UUGAGCCUACGGGGGGCAGCAGUGGGGAAUAUUGCACAAUGGGGGGAACCCUGAUGCAGCGACGCCGCGUGAGUGAAGAAGUAUUUCGGUACGUAAAGCUCUAUCGGCAGGGAAGAAAAAAGGACGGUACCUGAGUAAGAAGCCCCGGCUAACUACGUGCCAGCAGCCGCGGGAAUACGUAGGGGGCAAGCGUUAUCCGGAAUUACUGGGUGUAAAGGGAGCGUAGACGG